rnacentral:rRNA from 1 species
AUCCUGGCUCAGGACGAACGCUGGCGGCGUGCCUAAUACAUGCAAGUCGAGCGAUGAUUAAAGAUAGCUUGCUAUUUUUAUGAAGAGCGGCGAACGGGUGAGUAACGCGUGGGAAAUCUGCCGAGUAGCGGGGGACAACGUUUGGAAACGAACGCUAAUACCGCAUAACAAUGAGAAUCGCAUGAUUCUUAUUUGAAAGAAGCAAUUGCUUCACUACUUGAUGAUCCCGCGUUGUAUUAGCUAGUUGGUAGUGUAAAGGACUACCAAGGCGAUGAUACAUAGCCGACCUGAGAGGGUGAUCGGCCACACUGGGACUGAGACACGGCCCAGACUCCUACGGGAGGCAGCAGUAGGGAAUCUUCGGCAAUGGGGGCAACCCUGACCGAGCAACGCCGCGUGAGUGAAGAAG